rnacentral:rRNA from 1 species
UACGGGGGGGGGGUAAGCGUUGUUCGGAAUUACUGGGCGUAAAGGGCACGUAGGCGGCUUUCUAAGUCGGGGGUGAAAUCCUGGAGCUCAACUCCAGAACUGCCUUCGAUACUGGAAAGCCUCGAGUCCGGGAGAGGUGAGUGGAACUGCGAGUGUAGAGGUGAAAUUCGUAGAUAUUCGCAAGAACACCAGUGGCGAAGGCGGCUCACUGGCCCGAUACUGACGCUGAGGCACGAAAGCGUGG